CCUACGGGAGGCAGCAGUGGGGAAUAUUGCACAAUGGGGGCAACCCUGAUGCAGCGACGCCGCGUGAGUGAAGAAGUAUUUCGGUACGUAAAGCUCUAUUAGCAGGGAAGAAAAUGACGGUACCUGCCUAAGAAUCCGAGGCUAACUACGUCACAGCAGCCGCGGGAAUACGUAGGGGGGAAGCGUUAUCCGGAUUUACUGGGGGUAAAGGGAGCGUAGACGGCAGCGCAAGUCUUGAGUGAAAUCCCAUGGCUUAACCAUGGGACUGCUUUGGAAACUGUGCAACGUGAGUGCAGGAGAGGGAAGCGGAAUUCCUGGUGUAGCAGUGAAAUGCGUAGAGAUUAGGAGGAACACCAGUGGCGAAGGCGGAUUACUGGACUGUAACUGACGUUGAGGCUCGAAAGCGUGGGGAGCAAACAGGAUUAGAGACCCGAGUAGUC
rnacentral:rRNA from 1 species